ACAUGCAGCUGUAUUACUGUCAUCUUACAAGCUAAGCAAGUUGAUCCGUAUCUAGUCAGUACUUGGAUGAGAGACCUCCAAGGAAACCCCAGUUGCUGCAGGAA
ensembl:rRNA 5S_rRNA 5S ribosomal RNA